GCAGCAGAACGGCGUGGCCUGAUUGGCUGGGGCAUGUCCCUCCCCGCCAAUCAGGAGACGACAGAAGGAAAGUUUCCCCCCACGUGCGCUAGAGACAAGUUGACAAAGUGGCGCUGAGGGGGGUCUGACCCCCUCCCCCGAAGUUUCCUAUUGGUCCCCCAUCGGGGGCAGGGCCUCCAGAAAGAAUAAAAGGCCACCUGCCGGGCACACGGGCGGAAUCAGCCAUGGGCGGCAGUGGACAGAGAAGAGCUGGUAGAGCUGGCCAGCGGGGGAGCAGUAACCCCGGAACAGACCUGAAGAGGCAGCGGCGCCCCGAGGAGGUGAGGCGGAGCCGCGGCGCUCCCUGCCCGCUCUGUGCCGGGGGUGGGCGGGGUGGCGGGGGCACGUGGGCUGCAGUUGGGGACCUACGGCCCCUCUGCAGGCCCGGGGCUGUGAAAGGCUGCGGGGAGUGAUGUCCCGAGCAACGUGGGUGCUGUGUGGCUCGUAGCUCCUGUCAAGCACCGGUGACCCGCGGGGCAGGCAGCGGCCGGGCUUGUAGGCUUCUGUUCCUUCCCUUAAGGCACCAUUGGGGGCAGUGGGCGAGGUCCCCGGGCUUCGGCCACAGCUUUCCCUUAAGGUGUCAUUCAGGGGGGCGGAGGCUCAGGUCCGUAACCAGCUCCACUGCCCCCUUAACAUGUCAUUUGGGGGGGUGGCGGGCAGGGUUGGUUUCUCUCUGCCCACAGUCCUCUCUUAAGGCAUCGUUUGGGUCCGUGGUGGGGAGGGCCGGAGGACCCCCGCAGUCCUCCCUUAGGGUGUCUUUUGGGGGGGCAGCGGCAAGGUCCGUAGGCCCCCGCUGUCCUCUCUUAAGGUGCUAUUUGGGUUGGCAGUGGGUCUGGUCUGAACCCAUGUAGUUCUCACGUCAGGCCUUGGGGGGGGGGGGGGGGGCAGCAGGUCAGGCCCGUCGGGCUUGGCCCACGGCCCCUCCUUAAGGCGGGGCUGCAGUGGGCGAGGGCCUGGAGGUCGCUGCUGUCUGCUCUCGGGGUCAUCUUGCCGAGCUGCGGUGUGGUGCUGCCCUGCUCACAAAAGGGUCAAGCACCGACAGUCUUUCACACCCCCAAGCCUGAGCUACGGUGUGGUGCUGCCUAGCUCUGUGGGCGGUCAAGCACUGGUGGUCACUUGAGGGGGCUUGUGCCCUCUCAAGGCCAUCCCAUGGGGAAGCACGAGCACACGGGGUGCCGCCAAAGAAAACCAGCAGAGAAGACAACACAGGUGUGAACUUGCCUGGUAUUUAAUGGACAAAUAAAAUUGAUCUGCCAGGCACCUCUUUGGUGCCUGGUGCCUUUCACCUCCAAGUUCAUCCUUCCCCGCUGCGCUGUUUCUCUAAUCUCCUUUCCUGUUAUUUCACCUCCAAGUUUCCCCGCCCGCUGCCCUCUUUAAUUUCUGCAGUGGUCCUCUUGUGACCACUGCGUGCCGAGAGCCUACAGGCUGGCCGCUCGGGAUGCUGAAUCCCUUGCUGAAAAGGGAUUAGUGGGAGACGUCGCCCAUCUUUGCUGGCGGUUACAUCGGUCAUCUGAAGCUUCAGCUGUGAAUCACAUGAAGCAGGUCGCCUUCAGGGGUCAACCCACGUUGGUUGCCACCAGAAAAGAAGACAGGAAAGCAGAUGUGAGCUGGCCUGCUAUUUAAUGGACAAAUAAAAUUGAUCUGCCAGGCACCUCCUUGGUGUCUGGUGUCUUUCACCUCCAAGUUCAUCCUUCCCCACUGCGCUGUUUCUCUCAUCUUCUCUCCUGUUAUUUCACAUCCAAGUUUCCCCACCCGCUGCCCCCUUUAAUUUCUGCAGUGGUUCCCUUGUAACCACUGAGUGUGUCCUGAGUGUGCUGAGUGUGUGCUGAGUGUGUCCGAGCUGGUCAUCCAGGAUGCUGAAUCCCUUGCUGAAAAGGGAUUGAUGGAAGACAUCGCUUGCCUGGACCGGCCACCUGAGGCUGCAGCCUCGAAUCCCGCGAGACCGGUCCCCUUUGAGGGUCGAUGCACAUUGCCCCAGGAAGGACAAGCAGACGGGACGGCAGGCGAGCAGCAGUGAGCUGACCGGGAGGGAAGAAGGCCAGGCCAGCCAAACAGGAGGCCUCGGAAGAACGGGAAGGAGACGCGGAUGGGAAAGCAGCGGGGAAGAGGCGAGGUAGGAGAAAAGCCAGUUAGAGAAACGGGAUGUGAAGGAAAGGGACUCUGGACAGAGUGGCAUCCCUGCCUUCAGGUCUCGAUCAUGUCUUAGCCAAAUUUUGGCUUUGUGAGCCUUUGGGCAAGCUCCCUGUAACUCAAACGAGUCUCUGCCCUUGAUGUUCUUGCGCUUUUGCAGCAGUCAGGUGGAAGGCGGACAACCCUGUAAUCAAGGUGUGUCACCACCACCAUGUUUGUUAAGGCUGCGGAUCUGGUUAGUGGUCUUGCACAGCACAGCCCCACCCUGUCAUCAGAGUCGAGGCCAGCUGUCAGACUUGGCUGCCAAUUGCACAGCAACCCGUAAGUGGGGUGCGUGCUGCUUUCUAACAUGAGAAAAAAUGUCUAGCGCUGGACAUCCUGUAAUUGGGAGUCAAAAUCCACUGCUAUUCCUGGCCAGUCGAAGAGGAGCCCCUGUAAGCAGAGUGGACGUAGCCUCCUUCCACUGGCCUUAGGUAGCCGGAGCAGUUUGCACUGUUGUGCCGCAGGGCGGCCUUGCACACCAGAGCUGAGCCUCAUGGGGUGACAGCCAACUCUUUAGACCCCAGAACUUGAUGACUUUCCCGUGGUCUGGGUUGAAAUCUGUGGCCUCCUCUCCCCCUGUGUCCAGGCACCUGUCCUUUUUCAUGCAUCUGUGUCUGACUCCACGUCUGGACCCCUGGGCCGCCCUGUAACAAGGGUGCAAGUCCCGUGCCCCUGGUGGAAGGCUAAAUAGCGCAGAGCAGUGGACAUUCCUGUAAGCAGGGUCCAGCUCUCUAUGUCCCUUUGGGGACAGCCUUGUCCUUUGCCUGGCCUGGUGGCCCCCCUGUAAACAGGGGUCUGGGCCUCUCCCUUUUGCCCGCCGUGGGCAGUCUGACUAGCCAGACGGGCCGGGCCCUGUAACGAGGGCACCGGUCUCAGCCUUGUCGCCCCCUGGGAGCGGAGGAGGAUUUUCAGUAUAAGGUUCGAGGUCAAGCAGUUUGCAGCAUUGAGCUCCUUUCCAGCCUGGGAACACUUUUUACCCUUGUGAGAGUGUGGAGAGCGAGAGAGAGGAGCGCCUGGGAGCGAAAGCAUUUGUUAUUUUCUUUUUGUUGUUAAAAUCGAUGCAGCGUACUUUAUUUUCUUCCCAGUGCUGGAAAAGGGGCGAGAUGCGUCCUCAUAGCCUUUUCCUCCCACCUCCAUACCUAGGGGGACGGAUUUCCAGGCCUUUUGGUCUCGGGGAGCAUUAGGCCCCCUCUCUAAUACUUUGGGGCACACGGCCUCCCUGUAGUUCAGGGUACAGGCCUUAGACCCCCUCUUUUUGGGUUCCUUUGGGCACUUGGUAGCUCGAUUGCAGUUCCUGCCCUCCUUGAGAGACAGCCACGUGUUCCCCAGCCGAGUCCCUGGGGACGAGUGCCCUGGCACUUGGCCAGCCCUUGCUCUGCGCCCCCGCCCCCAGCCUGAAGCCUGUAAGCAGGGUCCAGGCCCCCUUGAUUCUCCGGGUCGGGUCUCGUCCCACUCGGUGAGGUUGGCCACAGAUGAUCCCCACAGACUGCAGGGAAGGUUGCAGGCUUGUGGAGGAUACGGGGUGCGCUGGGACCCCUGAGGCUUCGUGACCUUCCUGUAACUCAGGUUCCAGUCUCUGCUCCUCUGCUCUGCAGCUCCUGGCACCAUUGAGAUGGUCUCCUCUCACACCCUGUAAACAGGGCUGUGCCCCCCCAGCCCCUCUGACCUUGGGGGAGGAGGCCUCCUUUAGCCCUUUGGGCUCUGUGGCAGCCACGAUGGGUGGCUGAAGUAAUGGCCUUUGUGUCCCCCGACACAGGGCUGCUUUGAGCCCUGAUUGAGACUGCCUGAGGCACCUGUCAGCUGGCAUUCAGGGCUUUACAGAUUUUCUCUGGGCUUCAUGCCCCGCAGCCAGCUGUGUGCAGGGAGCACCGCCCUGUAAGUAGGGUUGCCGGUGUCUGUGGUCACCUUCAUGGUGCCGUCCUAGCACUUCUGUCCGGAGUCCUGGCCUGUCGUGCUCUGCUCCUGGCUGGCCCAGAUGUCGGCAGCCGAGCCCGCAGACGUCUGAUGUCCCCCAUCUCCACGGACAGAGGACAGUGGCCACAGGUCCAGAGGAAGAAGCAGAGGAGACAACAGACAAAUAGGAGUUAACCUAUAACCAGGACAGAAAACAGUGCCAGCCCACCAGGAGACAAAGGUCCCUGAAGAGCAGCUGGAGAAGGAGGAACAGAAGCUGGACAAGAAAGCUCAGAAGCAACAAGUGUGGGUUGGUGUGGGCAGGAGGAAGAGAGGCACAUGUUUAAUGUAUGCUUAAAUAAGUACAGAUGGAGACUGUCAUGUGCAUCUCUACACUUUCAAACACUCAGUAGGAGCAAGCUGCUGCACGCUUCAAGUUGCACCAUGGACUCGUUCUUGGGUUGGCCCUAUUUGUAGGCAGUGAGGUUGAGGCAUUGUGCGUAUUUGGUUGGCCACGAUUUGUAGGCAGUGAGGUUGAGGCAUUGUGCGUAUUGGGUUGGCACGGCACAAGGUGAAAAGUUUUUUUAUAUUGUUUAUUCUUCGACUGUGCACAUGCGGUUUGACAUUGAGCACGCCAACUACUGCUAGGAACAUUUGGACACAGGAGAUCUUCAUGCAUGGGGAUGGAGAUGAACCCUUUCAAACACCCAUGGAACUUCAACUUACAGACACAACCAAAUUGCACCACAAACAGCCUCAAACUGGCCCCACAACCUACGGCUAAAGCAAGCUACAGCCAAGCCACUAACCGAACUGAGCGCAAACCUGCAUUUCUACACCAACACUGACAACCCAACCCAGAAAACCCUUCAUGCUACCUUCAGUCACAUCUAUUUUGAUCAACUCCAGAACUAGCAAUACCAAACAACCUGCAAAAACCUAGACCACCACAUAUCAAUACGCACAACUAGCACAACACCCCAACCUCAUUGCCUACAAACCGUGGUGCUCUCCUACACUGAGAGGACUUGGCCAUUACCCUUUCCUGUUGUAAGCUGGCUGGAGGAAUAAUAAACGUUUUUUCAUUUUGUCUACUGAUCUGAUCUGUCUUGUUGAAUAAAAAUAUGUCCUGUUCUGAUUUAAAAAUAGUCAAAUAAUAUGACAGGUGAUGCCUAGUCACUAAUUGACAACUGUUAAUGCACUGUAGGAAAUCAGUCCUGAUUUAUUUGAGAAAAUAAAAAAUAAGGUACGGUGAA